AUGGCUGAACCCAACUCGUACGAGGAGCAGCGCAGGAGGCAGGUGGAGGAGAACAAGCGGAAGCUGGACGAGCUGCGCCUGCACUGCCUCUCCGCCGCCGUCCGCGAGGCCGCCGUCAAGCCAAUGCCGACCCCGGAGCUGAAGCUGCGGUAUCUUCGCCCGCCGCCGCCCCCGACCCGGCGGUCCGGCCGCGUCGCCAGUCUCCCCAAGCAACCUGAUUACCGCAACAAGAAAACCCCAAGAAGGGGAUUAUCGCCUGAUCGUGUGUACGCGACCGACGAAGCCAGAGACUACGCCUUCACCAAGGCCAAAGAGCUCAAUAACCAGCUGUCCUCCGACUACCCCUCCUUCAUCAAGCCCAUGACCCAUAGUUAUGCCACGAGGAGUGGCUAUCUGCACAUCCCGCCACAAUUCAAGAAGAGGUAUCUCCCAUGGUCUGAUGAGAUGAUAUUUCUGGUGGAUGAAGAGGAUGGGGAGUUUCCCAUGCCUUACAUUGCGCAACAUAGUGCCAUCGGCUCUGGGUGGAAUUCGUUCGCCAUUGCUCACAAGCUGGCUGAUGGUGAUUGCUUGGUGUUCCAGCGAGUCCACAGGACAAAGUUUAAGGUCUACAUAAUUAGAGCAAGUUCCUACUACGAAAAUGAGCACUGUUGA
rnacentral:rRNA from 1 species